rnacentral:lncRNA from 10 species
UUCUCAUCUUACAGAUAAAAAAUACUUGGGGGAUUUUUCUGUAGAGAGGGGCGUUUCACUGAUUUGUAAGAAACUAUAGGUAAUAGAGGUCACUAGGACCCAGAUCUCCCUUAUAAAAUAGCUAAGGCAAAAAAAGAUUUGAGAAUCCAAAAGGUUAGAGAACAACUAAUGCAAAGCCAAGCAAGAACCCAAACAAGAGGAACUGUUUUGAUGACAAAGCUCAUCUUCUUAAGGUAUCUAAUAUGUGCCAAUCCCUGUGCUACAGACACAAGAAAACAGACCCUGAUGACACUCCAGUGGAGGAGAAGGUAGCUAGACUGGACUGGACCCAUCAGAGCUCCAAGACUGGAAAGACAGAUGCCAAUUUUGUGGGGAGCCUCAGAGGAGUUGGGAUGUUGGACACAUGAGCCAACCUGAUCUUUGGCUGGAGAAGAAACUGGGAGCUAAAGGAUCUCUUCCUGAUUACGUGGUGCUGUGGAGGAAGUAGUGAUUCUGGUGAGAAGAAACACUGGAAGCCAGAAGACAGUGGAGGAAAAUCUUCAACCUACUGAAAGAAGACAGCUCUCAACCUAGAGCUCUAUUCCUAGCAAAAACAUUGUUUGAGGAAAAAGACAGGCCUCUCUCUGUCACCUAGGCUGGAGAGCAGUGGUGCAAUUACAGCUCACAGCAGCCUCAACUUCCUGGGGUCAAGUGAUUCUCCUACCUCAGCCUCCCAAGUAGCUGGGACUACAGGCAUAUGCCACCACAUCCAGUUAAGUGUGUGUUUGUGUGUGUGUGGGUAGACAGCAUCUCACUAGGUUGCCUAGGCUGGUCUCAAACUUCUGGGCUCAACUGAUACUUCUGCCUCAGGCUCUCAAAGUUCUGGGAUUACAGGCAAGUUGCUGCAUUUUUAAAAUUACAUUUUAUCAGUUAAGAGCGUUCGCUAGUUAUUGUUUUCUAUAUAUGUUUAUAAUAAAUACACAAUAUAUUUUUUACAAAAGUCUUUUCUGCAUUUGUUUAGAUUAUAUAUGAGUCUUUAUUCUGUUACUAUGGUGAAUUACACUGAUUGACUUUCAUAUAUUAUACCAAACUCACAUUCCUAAAACAAAAGCAACUUAGUCAUGACAUGUUAUCAUUUUUAUGUAUUUCUAGAUUUUAUUUGAUAGCAUUUUGUUUAAAAGAUUUGAACCUAUGUUUAUGAGUUAGAUUGAUCUGUAAUCUUUCCUUUUAACAUCCCUAUCAGGUAUUGAUAUCAACACUCCUGGCUUUAUAAACUGAGUUGGGAAGUAUUUCUCCCCAUUUUUUUUUUCAGUCUUGGAAACAUAUAAUUUGUUUCUAUGUUUUUGAGAAUGGUAUUGUUUCUUAAUUAUAUAGUAGAAAAAAAGUAUGUUGAAGUCUUUGCCUAUGAACAUAAUAAUUUUGUCAAGUUUGCGUUGUAGUUCUGUCAAUGUUUGCUUUGUGCAGCAUACACAUUUGGAAUUAUUAUCUCUCUCUGAUGAAAUGAUUAUUAUCACUACAAAGUAUCCCAGCUUGCUUUGAAUAAUGUUUCUUGUCUGCAUCUGAUAUUAAUCUAGCAAGAUCAGCUUUCUUGUUAACAUUUGCAUUGUUAUAUCUCCCUACCCUUUUUACCUUCAGACUUCUGAAAUCUUACAUCUUGGGUCAUCACUUGUAAGAAGCAUAUAGUUGUUGUGUUUUAGUCAUGUCUCAUAAUAUUUGUUUUUAAGUGGUCUCCUACAGUUCAUUUAAAUUUAACAUCAUAACAUGUAUUUGUGAUUACAUCUACAUCGUAUUACUUUUCAUUUGUCUUGCUUAUACUUUAUUCCUUUUUCUCUCCCUUUUUGCCUAAUUUUGGACUAAUUAUCUGUUAGUAUGCCAUUUUCCAUUACCUUUAACUCAGUAAUUCUACACUCUCUUUUUUUUAUUAACUUUCAGUCCAUUAAGAGUUUAUUUUGGGUAGGCAUCUGGGAUCUCCUUCUUUUUGUGUGUCCCCUUUCUUUUCUGUUUCACUCCCAUUCUAUUUUGUUUAUUUCAACAGAUUUUGGAGUACAAGUGGUUUUUUGUUAGAUGAAUGAAUUAUAUGGCAGUGAAUUCUGAGAUUUUAGUGCACCAUCACCCAAGUAGUAUACACUGUGCCUAAUGGGUGUUUUUUAUCCCUAGCCCUCCUCCCCUAUUACUCUCUGAGUCGCUAAAGCCCAUUAUAUUGUAUUACCCUGCAUGCCUUUGCAUACUCAUAGCUUAGCUCCCACUUGUAAGUGAGAACAUGGUUUUUGGUUUUCCAUUCCUGUGUUACUUCACUUAGAAUAUUGUCCUCCAGCUCUAUCCAAGUUGCUGAGAAAGACAUUAUUUCCUUCCACUUUAUGGCUGUGUACACUCUUUUUCUAUUCUUUUAGUGAUUUCACUAGAUGAAAACAAGCCCUUUGUACUUACUAAGUCUAAGGUUUCCUGCGACUCUUACCAUUUCUCAGACAACUCAGGAACAUUAGAACACUAACUCAUAUCUUCCCCUCUUGACUUACAAGCUAUUCUUAUUAUGUACUUCAAUUCCAUACCUACUCAUAAUGAGAGCUUAAUUUUAUUGAUUUACACAGAAAAAUUCACUGGAUCACUCUCAUAUAUGCUUGUUUUUACCUCUUCAUUCUUCCUCGUGUCUAUGAAUUUUCACCUGAAAUCAAGGAUUUUUUAAUGCCUGAAGAACGUGCUGUAUCAGAGGCUGAUUUGCUGUGAAUAUAUUAAAACUUAAGUUCCAUAAAAUUUUUCUGACAGGGACCCCUUUUCCAGUGUGCUUACAUGAUUAAAUACUUUUGUAAAAUUUGAAAAAUAAGAUAUUUCAGCUGAAAUGAGUUUAAGACCACUUUCCUUUGCACUAGGGUUUCUUGUUCAUCAGACUUCCCUUCAUAACAAAUAAUACUUGAUUGGACAUAAGCUAGGGGAAGUGGAGUUGCACACACAUUUGGCUUGGGUUUAGAAUACAUUUUUAAAUUUCUUGUCACCUCUGUGUGUAGCUAAAUAGUUUCUAGCUAUUUUUUGGAUACUCCUACCCUUUGUUGUGCUGACUCACCUGACAUCAGGACACGAAGAUGGAAGGCUGAGGUAGUUAAUAAAUAUGCUGUGCUUUUGCCUGUGUGAAAAAAACAGAUACAUGUAUCCUAUGGUGUUCAGCAUUGGGAAUAUGUGGUUGUGGAAGAAGAGGAAGAGGAAGAAGAAGAAGGAGGAGGAGGAAAAAGAAGAAGGAGGAGGAGGAGGAAAGGAGGAAAGAAAGAAAGAAGAAAAAAAGAAAGAAAGAAAGAAAGAAAGAAAGAAAGAAAGAAGGAAGGAAGGAAGGAAGGAAGGAAAGGAAAGGAAAGGAAGAAGAAAGAAAGAAAAGGAAACUGAAAUGUGCAAAGGCAUUAGCUAUCUAGCAUAUUUGAACAUUUUCUGUUGAAUGCAAGACAUUUUAAUCUGACAAAGGCCUAAUAUCCAGAAUCUACAAAGAACCCAAACAAACUUACAAGAAAAAAACAAACAAUCGCAUCAACAGGUGAGCCAAGGAUGUGAACACUUCUCAAAAGAAGACAUUUAUGCAGCCAACAGACACAUGAAAAAAUGUUCAUCAUCACUGGCCAUGAGAGAAAUGCAUAUCAAAACCACAAUGAGAUACCAUCUCACACCAGUUAGAAUGGUGAUCAUUAAAAAGUUGGGAAACAACAGGUGCUGGAGAGGGUGUGGAGAAAUAGGAAGACUUUUACACUGUUGGUGGGACUGUAAACUAGUUCGUCCACCGUGGAAGACAGUGUGGUGAUUCCUCAAGGAUCUAGAACCAGAAAUACCGUUUGACCCAGCCAUCCCAUUCCUGGGCAUAUACCCAAAGUAUUAUAAAUCAUGCUGCUACAAAGACACAUGCACAUGUAUGUUUAUUGCAGCACUAUUCACAACAGCAAAGACUUGGAACCGACCCAAAUGUCCAUCAAUGAUAGACUAGAUUAAGAAAAUGUGGCACAUAUACACCAUGGAAUACUAU